rnacentral:tRNA from 4 species
GGCGUAGUGGCGAAGUGGUAACGCAGCGGUCUGCAAAACCGCGAUGCGGGGGUUCAAUUCCCCCCUACGCCUCCG